ACCUUUUGUCAGUCCUAGAAACACUGAUGAAUAAGGGGUGGGCAAGUUCUGGUGUCAGCCGCCGCGGUAAAACCAGCACCUCAAGUGGUCAGGAUGAUUAUUGGGCCUAAAGCAUCCGUAGCCGGCUCUGUAAGUUUUCGGUUAAAUCUGUACGCUCAACGUACAGGCUGCCGGGAAUACUGCAGAGCUAGGGAGUGGGAGAGGUAGACGGUACUCGGUAGGAAGGGGUAAAAUCCUUUGAUCUAUUGAUGACCACCUGUGGCGAAGGCGGUCUACCAGAACACGUCCGACGGUGAGGGAUGAAAGCUGGGGGAGCAAACCGGAUUAGAUACCCGG
rnacentral:rRNA from 1 species